CCUACGGGAGGCAGCAGUGGGGAAUAUUGCACAAUGGGGGAAACCCUGAUGCAGCGACGCCGCGUGAGUGAAGAAGUAUUUCGGUACGUAACGCUCUAUCAGCAGGGAAGAAAAUGACGGUACCUGACUAAGAAGCCCCGGCUAACUACGUGCCAGCAGCCGCGGUAAUACGUAGGGGGCAAGCGUUAUCCGGAUUUACUGGGUGUAAAGGGAGCGUAGACGGCAGCGCAAGUCUGGAGUGAAAUCCCAUGGCUUAACCAUGGAACUGCUUUGGAAACUGUGCGGCUAGAGUGCAGGAGAGGUAAGCGGAAUUCCUAGUGUAGCGGUGAAAUGCGUAGAUAUUAGGAGGAACACCAGUGGCGAAGGCGGCUUACUGGACUGUAACUGACGUUGAGGCUCGAAAGCGUGGGGAGCAAACAGGAUUAGAUACCCGAGUAGUC
rnacentral:rRNA from 1 species